ensembl:lncRNA
GACCUGCUUCCUUCCACUUAACCUUCACCAGCCUCUUGCGCUCCCACUGGCACCAUGCUGAGGAAGGCCCUGAUAGUCACAGCCUGGUUUACCUUGGCUGUGGCUUACCCUGUAAUACUCCCGGACUUGACCACUGACCUUGAGUUGAUUAAUGCCCUUGGAUUUACCGCUGAACUAGAGUCCCCUGCCAUCCUGGAGUCAUCUACUUACCCGGAGUCCACUGUCACCCCAGAGUCCCCCACCGACCUGGAGUCAUCCACCACCACAGAAUUCACUGCCACCUUGGAGUUGACCACUGACCCAGAGUCCCCCACCGACCUGGAGUUGUCCACCACCGCGGAGUCCACUGCUGCCCUGAAGUUGACCACUGACCCAGAGUUCUCCACCGAUCUGGAAUUUUCCACUGACCUGGAGUCCUCCACCGACCUGGAGUUGUCCACUGACCUGGAGUCCACGGCCACCCCAGAGCCAACCACUGACCUACUCUCCAUUGGUGUAGAAUCGACCACGGAUGUGCAUCUUGAGAACACACCAACCUUUGGUAGGUGAGGGUUUGGGCUUCAGAGGAGGCCUGGGCAGGAGUUGGUGAGCUCCCAUUGCAUUUCUGAGAGAAAGCCUACUUUCCUCCAGUGUACUUGAUUUCCCAAUGUAAGCUGAUGAUCAAAGCCAUCCUCCAUUUUGUUGUCCUAGAAUUAUCUACUGAAGUGGAAUCAAACACUGAUAGCUCUGACGAAGCAACUGCUGAGGCUACAGGUAAGGAUUUCUGACUUCAAAAAUGCAGAAAUUUCUUCCUUCCUCCUUUUUCUUGUUUAUAGGCCAUUGCAUAGAAAUGUCCUGAGGGGGGCGCCUGGGUGGCGCAGUCGGUUAAGCGUCCGACUUCAGCCAGGUCACGAUCUCGCGGUCCGGGAGUUCGAGCCCCGCGUCAGGCUCUGGGCUGAUGGCUCGGAGCUUGGAGCCUGUUUCCGAUUCUGUGUCUCCCUCUCUCUCUGCCCCUCCCCCGUUCAUGCUCUGUCUCUCUCUGUCCCGAAGGAAAAAAAAAAAAAAAAAGUUGAAAAAAAAAAGAAAUGUCCUGAGGUAUCUUAUACAUUUGGGGAUACUUUUGCUGCUUUGUUCUCUAUGGUAGAGGGAAGUUUUGCCAAAAGUUCUCUGAAACUUGUAGAAAAUUGAAACAUUUUCCCCGAGUGUCAGAAACCGGAAUUGCUUGGAUGCCAACAUAGCUCCAUCCCAGAGGUCUGCCCAGACCUGACCAGGACCAGCCUUCAGGGCUUCUCAAAGAGGAGGGGCUUGGUGUCUCCAAUGGACUGAAGUAUGUGGUGGCCAAAAAGGGGUUGACAAUUUCCUUUUCUCUGCCAGUUCAUUACCAUUCAGUUUACAUAGAGAACUUUUUGAGAGAAGGUUAUGGUAAAUGUAAAUCUUAUUUGAAUAUAGACUAAACAAAAGAGAAAAGAGAUUUAAAAGCUUUAUGGGUUAAGCAGUGGUCCUAUCUUUGCCCAUCCCUCUUUCCAGUCUCUACCUUCUUUCAUUUUUCUGUCUUCCACCUAGCCAAGGGGCCAUAAGAUUUCGAUGCUUUCUACCCCCACAAAACAAACCCCAAUACUUUAAGGGAUGCCUGGGAUGUUUGCUAAGAAAGACUCUUGGGUCUUACCUACAAAAGCAAAUUUCUAUACGAUCUGAUUCUUACGUCUGCAAACAAUAGCUAAAAUUAAUCGCGAUUGUCUAUAUUCCAGCACUGCUCUAAGUGUAUUGGGGUAUCGCAGGGAGUAGUGGGAGGAAUCUAGAAAUGGUAUGUUAGUGGAAAGGCCUAUUUUGAGAAAGUGUUGUUUCCCUGGCUUUAACAUCUUCCUCUUCCACUAAUUGUCUUCCUCGAAGAAUUGACAUCAUUUGCAACACGAAGCUCUACUUCACUAUUGUGUUCUAAUUACCCAAACUGUAAUCUGGCUUGAUUAAAGAGUUCAUCUGUGUUAAUGGUGUCUCCCCCUGCCCCCUCCCAUGGGGCGUUAGGAAAAUUCUCAUGUUUGACUACAAGAUCCAUCUGGUCAUUUUUGCUAAUACACUGGACCUCGUACCUGCUUAUCAAGAGAUGCUUUCUGACUGUGGAAUUUACCCAUAAAAUGGGGGUCUUUGUUUUUUUCCCCUCACCAUAAUGUAUUUAUUUAUUUAACUUUUUUUUUUCAGUUUUAUUGGGAUGUAAUUGACAUCAGCUUAAGGUGUACAAUGUAGUGAUUUGAUAUGAAUGUAUAUUGAGAAGUUGUGGUUUUUAAUAGAGAACAUCAAUGGAAGUUUAAACCUUUUAAGUUAAGAAAUGUACUCCUUUAUUUCUAGAAAAUGUCACUGCCACUUAUUCAGAAGAGCCCAUGACUAGAGGACCAGGUAAGGCCAAACAGCUUUGUCUUUCUUGCCUAUUCUUGGCCUUUAAGGGAUUUUUUUUUCCUUGGGAGGCUUUGCAGAACAGACUCAGGAAGUGGGACUCUGGUAGGUACUCUGCCUCUGUUUAUACCCUUCUCACUCAUGUCUGCUCAGCUUCUGGGGGAGAAGAGGGAAUGAAGUUAUAACAAGUGCACGUGCUGCUCUUAGGGACUUGUAAGUGAGUGGAGACCUCCCCUUAAACCAGAUCAUCCUCAUGGAGUGCAUCUGUGUUCCAUUUCUAACAGUAGGAUUUCAGGCAUGGCAGAGGACCCUGGAAGUUGGGAGAAGGAAGGUGUGGGUGCCACAGACUUAGUGGAGCCCUCUGUUUACCAGGGCUACGUGACACGGUUAACUGAACGCUAGACCCACUGCGAGUGAUCCUUACUGACGUGAAUAAAACCAUUUCUUUACUUAAUUUCA